rnacentral:misc_RNA from 1 species
UUUUUUAAUAAAUUCAUCUUGUGAGGAAGUUUUUUAACAUGAUUCUUUUUAAAGAAAGGGGAAAAGAUAAUCAGUUAACCUCAGUUUUAUAGGGCAAAGGUCUUAUGAAAAUGCUGCUGGAAGCAACUGAAGCUAGCUAACUGCAUUCUCUGCUCCUUCCCUGGCUUAUCGGCCUUUGGAAAAUACAUUUGCGAUUCGUAGUGGCUGGCUGAGGAAAAACUUAAUUUGAAGUGAAAUUUAUAUUCUUCCGAGUGAUUGGAUUCCAAAGAGGGCCAUGUAACAACAACUACAGUUCUGUGCAGUUGCCUUCCAUCAUGUAUUCAGCUGCCACAGCUUUUUCUUAGUUCUUAGUGUUCUUGAAACUUUAUUCUUUAGGCAUUGGUGUUCUUUGAUUGUUUAUCUUGAUGCUCCUUGAUUAUUCAGUCUCCUUUUUUCCUGUUCUUUUUCUUUUUCCUGAAGAUAUAGAUUUUGUGUAUGGGCAUGGUUCCCUUCAGUAAUUAUUAUCAUUUACUGUCCUUGGAAUUUUUAUUUUAAAAAAGAAUAAUUGAAGAAGAAGGAAAAAGAAGAAAUGUAUAAUAAAUAUAUAACAUUCAGCAAUUUUCCAGAUGUGUUUUUGUGGAUGCUGGAGU